rnacentral:rRNA from 1 species
ACUCGACCGCAUGAAGUCGGAAUCGCUAGUAAUCGCGAAUCAGAAUGUCGCGGUGAAUACGUUCCCGGGUCUUGUACACACCGCCCGUCACACCAUGGGAGUUGGAAGCGCCCGAAGUCUGUGACCUAACCGAAAGGGAGGAGCAGCCGAAGGUGAAGCCAGUGACUGGGGUGAAGUCGUAACAAGGUACC